UACGUAGGGUGCGAGCGUUGUCCGGAAUCAUUGGGCGUAAAGAGCGUGUAGGCGGUCCGGUAAGUCGGCUGUGAAAGUCCAGGGCUCAACCCUGGGAUGCCGGUCGAUACUGCCGGACUAGAGUUCGGAAGAGGCGAGUGGAAUUCCCGGUGUAGCGGUGAAAUGCGCAGAUAUCGGGAGGAACACCUAUGGCGAAGGCAGCUCGCUGGGACGUUACUGACGCUGAGACGCGAAAGCGUGGGGAGCAAACAGG
rnacentral:rRNA from 1 species